AAAAUGCUUAUUUGUGUGUGUGUUUAAUUAAUGUAUUUUUUUCGAACAAUAUAGAUUUGUAGCUUUGAAACCUACAUUUGACGUAAUGUUGCUUAGAAUUUUAGAGUUCCCUGAUAGACAAAUUAAAUGCAUACAUCAAGAUAACGUCUGUUGAUUUUUCAAAAAAUUAAUAUUCUAAGACAUUUCAUCACAAAAUUUGUAAUUUUUUUUUUUUUUUUUUUUUUUUCCUACCUAAGCUGAUAGCCCUAGCGGCUAUUUCAGCGUAGCCUUAACUUUAGUAGGUGAGCUCACGGGGCUCAAACCUGACGAUGUUGCUAACACGAACCCUAGCAAGAGUCGUGCUUCGCAGAAUCUACCACCGGAUCGGAAACGCGACCCACUGAGAAGAUCCGGCGAGAAACUCAGUGGGCUGUGUCUGAGAGUUAAUUUACUCGUCGAGCCCUUCGUCGCAAGCGACGGGUUCGACGAGAACGGUGACCGGUGCUUGAAGUACCUAAAAGCACCGUUAGUGGAUCAGGAGGAUCCGAGAUGACAUUUGUAAUUAACCACAUUAUCGGUUUUUAAGACUUUUUGGGUAACUGUAACGAGAACGCGAGCAGCGAAGUUAAAAGGUUUUUUUGUAUUUCUUUAUUUUUUUGUAUUUGAUUUUUUUGUAUUAUACUUUUUAGUAUUUCAUCAAGUCUAAACUUGUACUAGCAGUGGUUUAAUAACUGCUUAGUAUCUGUGAAAGUGGACAAAUGUGUUAAAAUGAAACGCUAGACGUGGCUUCGAUUCAUUUCCAGUAAAAAACUGAGACUUUAUUUUAUAAAUCUCAUCCCAAUUGAUUAAUCUCAAAUAAACAAACUUCAUUUCAUUCCGCUCCAUAUCUAAGGGAAUAUGUAUGUUAUUAAGAUAAUGAUUAAAUUUAUUCAUAUUUAAGCAUUCGACAUUGGCACCAAUGGUGUCGCAAGAAAUCAAUUGCCAUACUGAAAAAAGGGGAAGAAACUAUUUGGGGGGAAUGCGAAAAGUUACUUAUAAUAUUUUAUUUCGUUAUUUAAGCAUUUCUUCUGGUUUCAAUAUGUAAUAAUGGAAUGGGGGUACAAAUUGUUCAAAAACGUUUUUUUUACACAAAACGUCAGCUGCGAUAUUGCCACUAUGUUCAUUAAUCCAUUUAAGGAUUCACUAAUUCACCCCGUAAAUACAUACACCAAAUACGUCGCCAGCUUUAUGUUGUUCCAGACACAUUUGACAAGUUAAUUAAAUAUUUGAUGAUAUUAUUAAAUAUUUAUUCCGAGCAUAAAUUCCAAGAAAUAAACCAACAAAAAAAAGUAUUGAAGCCUUGAGAUUUCCGGAUCAGCAGUGCCUAGCAGGAAUCACUCGGUACUGCAGCCCCAUUCACGAUGAUAUAAGGCAGAAAAUUGUUUUCAUAGCCGGCAACAUUCAAUUCAGUGUGUACGAGAAUUAAAUACUACCAUUGUGUAA